rnacentral:rRNA from 1 species
GGGCCCGCACAAGCGGUGGAGCAUGUGGUUUAAUUCGAUGAUACGCGAGGAACCUUACCAGGGCUUAAAUGUAGAGCGACAGAGGUGGAAACACCUCCUUCUUCGAACAGAUUACAAGGUGCUGCAUGGUUGUCGUCAGCUCGUGCCGUGAGGUGUCGGGUUAAGUCCCAUAACGAGCGCAACCCACGUCUUUAGUUGCCAGCAUUUAGUUGGGCACUCUAGAGAGACUGCCGGUGAUAAACCGGAGGAAGGUGUGGAUGACGUCAAGUCCUCAUGGCCCUUACGGGUUGGGCUACACACGUGCUACAAUGGUGGUGACAAUGGGUUAA